rnacentral:rRNA from 1 species
AGUGAACGCUGGCGGUAGGCCUAACACAUGCAAGUCGAACGGCAGCACAGUAAGAGCUUGCUCUUACGGGUGGCGAGUUGCGGACGGGUGAGGAAUACAUCGGAAUCUACUUUUUCGUGGGGGAUAACGUAGGGAAACUUACGCUAAUACCGCAUACGACCUACGGGUGAAAGCAGGGGAUCUUCGGACCUUGCGCGAGUGAAUGAGCCGAUGUCGGAUUAGCUAGUUGGCGGGGUAAAGGCCCACCAAGGCGACGAUCCGUAGCUGGUCUGAGGGGAUGAUCAGCCACACUGGAACUGAGACACGGUCCAGACUCCUACGGGAGGCAGCAGUGGGGAAUAUUGGACAAUGGGCGCAAGCCUGAUCCAGCCAUACCGCGUGGGUGAAGAAGGCCUUCGGGUUGUAAAGCCCUUUUGUUGGGAAAGAAAAGCAGCAGGUUAAUACCCCGCUGUUCUGACGGUACCCAAAGAAUAAGCACCGGCUAACUUCGUG